rnacentral:rRNA from 1 species
CGAGCACGCGCGUGUGGCAUAUCAAUAAGCGGAGGAAAAGAAACUAACAAGGAUUCCCUUAGUAACGGCGAGUGAAGCGGGAAGAGCUCAAAUUUGAAAUCUUCAAGGUUCUACCUUGACGAAUUGUAGUUUAUAGAAGUGUUUUCUGUUAGUGGAGUGGCAAAAGUUCUUUGGAAUAGGACAUCAUAGAGGGUGAGAAUCCCGUAUUUGGUCAUUCCUCCUAGCGUUGUGAUACACUUUCAAUGAGUCGGAUUGUUUGGGUAUGCAGUCCAAAAUGGGUGGUAAAUUUCAUCUAAAGCUAAAUAUUGGCGAGAGACCGAUAGCGAACAAGUACCGUGAGGGAAAGAUGAAAAGUAACUUUGAAAAGAGAGUUAAACAGUACGUGAAAUUGUCAAAAGGGAAGCGUUUGACACCAGUGUUGUUUUUCCGAAAAUCAAUUACGAAUGUUUUGUUUUUAAGGAGUUAUGACUUCAUCGGCUUGCUCCUUUCUUUAUGAAACUUUCUUAAUGCACUUUUCGGUUAACAAGUCAACAUCAAUUUCUUUUGUUGUAAAAGGGUAUGAGGAAGGUGGCUUUCUUUUCGGAGAAAGUGUUUAUAGCCUUGUGCCUCUGCAAUCGGAGAGAUUGAGGUCUGCAGCGUAGAUCCUUCGGGGUUAGAUACGUUUGUGCUAAGUUAUAGCUUUUCAUAGACAACUUGUUGACUAUGUUUAGUCUUGUAGCUUACUCGCUGACGCUAUUUUACCUACGCUUAGGAUGUUGAACUCUAUCACACACAG